AGUCUUCUAAGAGAGCUCGGGAAGGUUUUGAGUAGACAAAGCAAAUCUCGUAGGACUAUCCUGCGAGAUUUAUCACGGGUCACAACGCGAAUGGAUUUCAGGCGCAAAUCUCGCAGCUUGGUCCUGCGAGAUUUGCGCCACGCGUCACCUUCUCGCUGGUUGUUCUCUUCAAAUCUCGCAGCUCCAACCUGCGAGAUUUGGUCCAGCGUCGCCACGCAUCACCUUCCCGCUGGUUCUCUCGUUGCCACGCGUCAAAGGCAGAGCGGCCCAUGAGUUUAAAUCUCGUAGCAUGAAACUACGAGAUUACGCGAGUAUUACUUUGGAAAAAUUUUUCCCAAUAAGAGUGUUAUUUUAUAUUUUAUUUUUAUUUAAUAAUAAAACGGGAAAAAACUAUAUAUAUAUAAAUAUAUAUACAAUUUUUCUUCACUUGCUUGUUUCUAUAUUGAUAUGCCCUGCCAUUUUGAUUUUGCUUCUUCAAUUGCUUGCGUCUUUCACCUUGUUGCAUGUAAUUUCAACCGAUUGCUAAUUCUAUUUUCAGAUUUUAUUUAAUUCCAAACCAGCCACAAUAAACACCUAAACAUAAACCUGUUUAUUUUGAUGCGUGUAUGUGUGCUAAGUCUGAUCAAGAAAAAUAUAUGUUCACCAAUCAAUAUUCAGCAAAGCAUAAACAUGUCAAUCACACAGUCACAAUCCACAAGAUCGCAUUUACGUUGUUCGGUCCAAAAAUUAGCCUACAUUCACGCAGAAACUCACCUCUAAGAUACUAUAUUAAAUCUGGUGGGAAUAAAUAUACAUACAUAGAUUUACCCCUUCUUGACUUUCCAAUUUCUUUUAGAAAUCAGCCCAAGAAUAAUCCAAAAAAUCCCUUCUUGGCUCCUGCGAAGAACCCUAGAUUUCUCCUUAUAUUCCUUCCUAAAUUUCCCUACAAGAAAUUCCUGCCAAGAAACUAGAUCUGUGCAUUACCUCCUUUACCUGUUCGCGAACCUCCGCUGGAGGUUGGAAAUACCCAGCGCCGCACCUCCUCCUGCUGGUUCCUUCUUGCGUGCGGCCUCACUCUCCCGCCCGACUGCUGAAGCCUCUCGGUUCUGCAGGUGCUCUCUCGGCUGGGAGGUCUCCUGCUGCUAGGAAGAACUCGCGGCUGGCUGUGGAAGAAGACGGAGCGGCGUCUCUCUCUCGGUUCUGGAGCUGCAAACACAAGAAGAAGAAAACCUCUUCUGCCCUUCCGUGUCUCAAGCUACGAACACAGAAACUCUCCAAGUCCCCCCCAUCUACCUGCUAUGUUUUUUAUUCAUUUACAAUUAAAGUCAAGCAAUUACAUCACUGCCCCUAUAACAAAAGUAAGCAAAAAACAGCCGUUGGAUUUGGGUAAAGAAAUGGACAGCCUGGAUUCUGUUUCAAGCCUUGACACUCCAACACACCUGUUCUCUAGGACUGCUCAGUUUCUCGCCGGGGAUCAAUAUCUUGAGACUAAGUCAGAUAAUGAGUGUAAAAAGUUGAAGUUUCUAUUCCAGAGGGUAGCAUAUUUUUUCCGUGCUUUUGGUUCGAUGGUACCAACAAGGGCUUUGAAGCAAUAUGUGUGGCGCACCCCUUACCUGCCCCUUACAUUAGUUAUGGUAAAUUCAAGUUUGGAGGAGACACCUGUUUUGAGCAGGCUGUUGUCUGUGGGGGUUGAUCCACAUCAGAAGUCCUUUUAUAGUGCCUCCGUGGACAAAGUGAAUGAUCCAAGAAUCAGUGAUUUUUCACUUCAAGAAAGGGGUUGUCACUCAUUCGAAAGUGGCAAGGAGAGAGAAAGAGAACAGGUGCAGUGUUACGAGCGGGGCACGGAGGCAUUACUGUGGAGAAGACAAACAAAGGAAAUGUCUCAUAAAGAUUUUCUAAGUCGACUUCCUGCGAACUUGGGUAGGAAUCAAAGGGCAUUUGGAAGUAUGUGUGAUGCUCGGUCUCUUCCAGCUCAUCUGUAUAGCUCCUAUUCUGAUAAUAAAUGCAUGAAGGAUGUAACAAAUAAGUUUUUAAAAGGUAUACCAUCAAUUGUGAACAUAGUGGAAGUUGGUCCAAGGGACGGUUUACAAAAUGAGAAGCAUAUUGUGCCUACACCAGUAAAGGUUGAGUUGAUAAAGAUGCUUGUUUCUUCAGGAUUGCCUGUCAUUGAGGCUACAAGUUUUGUCUCUCCAAAAUGGGUACCGCAGCUAGCAGAUGCAAAGGAUGUAAUGGAAGCUAUUCAAAAUGUUACAGGAGCCAGAUUUCCUGUGUUAACACCUAAUGUUAAAGGAUUUGAAGCUGCAAUUGCUGCUGGAGCUAAGGAAGUGGCUGUCUUUGCCGCAGCAUCUGAAUCCUUUUCAAAGUCAAACAUCAAUUGUAGCAUUGAAGAUAGUCUCACUCGUUAUCAUGAUGUAGCUCUUGCAGCUAAAAAGCUCUCAAUACCUGUCCGUGGAUACAUAUCAUGCGUUGUGGGAUGUCCCAUGGAAGGAGUGGUGCCUCCAUCAAAAGUAGCAUAUGUGGCUAAAAGGCUUUAUGAUAUGGGUUGCUCAGAAAUUUCCCUUGGUGACACAAUUGGUGUUGGUACUCCUGGUACCGUCAUUCCAAUGCUUGAAGCUGUUAUUGGAGUUGUACCUGUUGAUAAGCUUGCUGUUCACUUCCAUGAUACUUAUGGGCAAGCUCUUUCAAAUAUUCUCAUAUCACUCCAAAUGGGGAUAAGCUCAGUGGAUUCAUCAGUCUCUGGUCUUGGGGGUUGCCCAUAUGCUAAAGGUGCUUCUGGGAAUGUUGCCACCGAAGAUGUUGUUUACAUGCUGCAUGGGCUUGGAGUGAAAACCAAUGUGGAUCUUCGAAAGCUAACGUUGGCUGGGGAUUUCAUUAGCAGGCAUUUGGGGCGCCCAUCUGGUUCAAAGACUGCAGUUGCUUUGAGCAAACUCACUGCCCAUGCCUCCAAGCUAUAAAAUGCUGGAAUUCGAUUGAAAACCCAAAAUGAAACUGAUUUGGCACCAUCCUAUUCCUAGGCAAGCAAAACGACGCCAAUUUGUACGUGAUAAAAUUAACCCAGAAAUUGGUCUAUAGCGUAUGCCUUCCCAGUUCUACACGUUUCUUUCUAAUAAGCAAGUAAAUGGCACAGCUAUCUAGGAUCAUAAAAGAAGAAUUUCAUUUUUUACGGGUAGUUGGGUGGUAGCCGGCGAAAGGUAGGUGAUGGGUCUUAUAGCAAAUACAGUGUGCUGGGAGCAGCAGGCAGUGCAGGACAAAGAAAGGGGUCUCUCAGCAAUUUCAUGCAUUAAAUACCUUCUUUAAUUUGCACUGAGGCGUUUGUCGACCUGCUGUUUGUUUCACCGUUAGGGUUUAAAAAGAGGACUUUGUCCCUUCUCGGUCCUGCCGGCAGUCUCUCUGUAGCUGUGGUUUCAGUUUUACCACCAAAUCAUAACUGUAAUGUUAAAAAAAAGGGAAAGAGAUAUCCCAAGUUGGUUUUGGCAGAACCCUUGAAGGUUGUGUGACAUUAAAUUCCAGCCUGAUAUGUUAAAAGGUGAAUAAAAAUAUUUUUAUGCUA